AAGUUGAAUCAAAGAAGGUAAUAAUCCUGUAGUCGAAAAUAUAUACUCUCUUGAGUGGAUCCUGAGUACGACGGAGCACGUGAAAUUCCGUCGGAAUCUGGGAGGACCAUCUCCUAAGGCUAAAUACUCUCUAGUGACCGAUAGUGAACCAGUACCGUGAGGGAAAGGUGAAAAGUACCCCGGAAGGGGAGUGAAAGAGAACUUGAAACCGUGUGCUUACAAGUAGUCAGAGCCCGUUAAUGGGUGAUGGCGUGCCUUUUGUAGAAUGAACCGGCGAGUUACGAUUUGAUGCAAGGUUAAGCAGCUAAUGUGGAGCCGUAGCGAAAGCGAGUCUGAAUAGGGCGUUUAGUAUUUGGUCGUAGACCCGAAACCAGGUGAUCUACCCUUGGUCAGGUUGAAGUUCAGGUAACACUGAAUGGAGGACCGAACCGACUUACGUUGAAAAGUGAGCGGAUGAACUGAGGGUAGCGGAGAAAUUCCAAUCGAACUUGGAGAUAGCUGGUUCUCUCCGAAAUAGCUUUAGGGCUAGCCUCAAGUGAUGAUUAUUGGAGGUAGAGCACUGUUUGGACGAGGGGCCCUUCUCGGGUUACCGAAUUCAGACAAACUCCGAAUGCCAAUCAAUUUAACUUGGGAGUCAGAACAUGGGUGAUAAGGUCCGUGUUCGAAAGGGAAACAGCCCAGACCACCAGCUAAGGUCCCAAAAUAUAUGUUAAGUGGAAAAGGAUGUGGCGUUGCCCAGA
rnacentral:rRNA from 1 species